rnacentral:rRNA from 1 species
UAAUACGUAGGGGGCAAGCGUUGUCCGGAUUUACUGGGCGUAAAGAGCGCGUAGGCGGACGUUUAAGUGUGGCCUGAAAGCCCCCGGCUCAACCGGGGAUCCGGGUUGCAAACUGGACGUCUUGAGGGGGAUAGGGGAAGGUGGAAUUCCUGGUGUAGCGGUGAAAUGCGUAGAGAUCAGGAGGAACACCCGUGGCGAAGGCGGCCUUCUGGGUCCGCCCUGACGCUGAGGCGCGAAAGCGUGGGGAGCGAACGGGAUUAGAUACCCCGGUAGUCCACGCCGUAAACGAUGAUUACUAGGUGUGUGUGGUAUCGACCCCACACGUGCCGCAGCUAACGCAAUAAGUAAUCCGCCUGGGGAGUACGGCCGCAAGGUUG